rnacentral:lncRNA from 1 species
AUGAAUAUUACAAAAAAAGGUAUGACUAUGUACUUAACCGAUCGUGAUGGUAAUACAGCUACAUGUGAAGAUUUUAAUACUUCUAUGGAACAAGCAUAUAAAUUAAAAAAAAAUGACAAAAAUGCAAGUUUAGAACAAUAUUUAUUAUGGUAUUCACAAAGUGGAACUCCAAGAGUUCAUGUUGAAUAUUUUUAUGAUGAAAAUCAAAAAUUAUUAACAUUCAUUUUAACACAAAAAACGAAUCCAGAUAAUAACCAAAAAGAAAAAAAACCAUUAUUUAUACCGAUAAAAAUUGGUUUUGUAAAUAGAAAUGGUGGAGAUGACAUUAUACCAGAAACAUUAAUUGAAUUUACUAAAGAAACUGAAAUGUUUACAUUUAAAAAUGUUCCUGAAAAACCUAUUCCAUCACUUUUUAGAGAAUUAAGUGCACCAGUACAUAUUACAGAUAACUUAACAGAUGAAGAACGUAUUAUUUUGUUAAAAUAUGAUACAGACGCUUUUGUAAGAUAUAAUGUAUGUGUUGAUUUAUAUACAAAACAAAUUAUAAAAAACUAUAAUGAAUUACUUAAUGCUGCACAAAAAAAUAUUCCAACAGAACAUGUACAAUUAACACCAAUGAGUAAUUAUUUUAUAAAUGCAAUUAAACAUGUAUUAGAAGAUAAAAAUGCGGAUUAUGGUUUUAAAGCAUACAUGAUAACAUUACCUUCUUUUAAAUAUUUAACUACUUUUAUUACAAAAAUAAAUACAGAUAUAUUAGCUGAUUCGUAUGAUCAUGUUUACUCAGAAAUAGCAAAACAUUUAAGUGAUAUGUUAUUUGACAUUUUUAAUAAAUUAGAAAAGGAAGCAAACGAUAUGACACACUUUGAAGAUGAAUCUUUUGUAGACUUUGAUCAAAUUAAUAAAAGAAAACUUAGAAAUAGUAUUUUAAAAUUAUUAAGUAAAACAAAAUUUAAAAAUAUUGAUAAUAGUAUAAUGAAACAUUCUGAAUCUUUAUAUCCAUCAAAUUGGUUAACAAGUUUUAGUGCAUCUGCUUAUAUAAAUAUAAAUAAGUAUAAUGAAUUAUAUGCUAAAACAUAUGAUCGUGCAAGAGAUGAUGAAUUGUUAUUAUUAUCAUGGAUUAAAACGGUAUCAUUAUCAGAUACACCUAAUAUAUAUGAAAUUCUUAAAAAAUUAGAAAAUGACAUAUUAAAAGAUAGUAAAAAUCCAAAUACAAUUAGAGCAGUAUAUUUACCAUUUGCUAGUGGAUUAAGACAUUUCCAUCACAAAUCUGGCAAAGGAUAUAAACUUAUUGCUGAUAUUAUUAUUAAUGUUGAUAAAUUUAACCCUACAUUAGCAUCUCAAAUUGCUAGUCCUUUUAAAAUAUGGAAUAAAUUGGAUGAUGCCAGACAAACAUUAAUGUUAAGCGAAAUCAACAGAAUAUUAAGUUCAGAUAAUAUAUCAAAUAAUUUGAGAGAGUUCUUAAGCAGAUUAACAAACAAAAUAUAA